UGCUGCGGAGCUGCUGCCUGCGGCCGGGAUGGGGGGGGGUACCGUGUGGUGUCCGGGCUUGGGGGAGGAAGGGGUUAACCGUGCAUGCCCGGGGGUGCUGCCCUUCCUGGAAGGGAGUGGGGUAACCUCGGUUAUGUGGGGGUGGAUGCGACUCUCCGGGAUAUCAGGCUGCCACAGCCCCCAGCCCGUGCGCGCACCGCCCGCAGCCCAGGGGCUGCCUUCUCCGCAUUGGCGGCGAGCGCUGCGAGGGAGCCGCGGUGAAACCCGAGCCGGGCCCGGCUGCCGCGUGGUUCGGGUCUGCGUGUGGGUUGCUUGUUUGUUUGCGUUUGCCAUUUCCGGCCUGUUUGUGUCAUGGAGCUCGAUUAAAAUCCUUUCUCUUCUGGGCGAGUCUUCCCUGGGGUGGGUAGGUCAGAGAGACACGGGGCCGAAGUGAUCACCCCUCCCCCCUCCCCCCCACUUUUUCUUUUCUCACCCUCUUCUUGCUUCCUAAAUACCCAGCCUGCCUCCUGCAAAGUGCGGGGGCAAAAGCUUUCAAGCAGCUUCUGUGGGGAGGAAGGUUCCAUUAGUGCGCACUGCUAGAGCUGCCCAGCUGUUUUCCACCCCCUCCCCCGCCCUCCGACGAGGAAGCUGGAUACAUCCUGCAAAUCCAGAUUACACCCGUGGAAGUAAAGACACCUCAUUUCCUUUUCAGUGACUUUAGGCAGAUCAUCCCCAUUCAUGCAUCUGCCACAGCCCAACCAGGUUUCCAGAUUGCAUGCUCUAGAAUUUGGCAUAGGCAUGGAGUUGUCGGUGUGCUCCUAGACAACAUCAUGCCCUUACAAGUUGGAUCACAGCUGCAGCUGCUGAGAAAUUCUGUCCUUUGAAAUAAAUUGCUUCCUCGUGCAAUGAAAUCUGACGGCAUCAUUGACAAAGGCACGACAUGACAUGCGAGCACUGCCCUGAUGUGUUAGCUCCAAGAGAAGCAUCCUCAUGGCAAAGAUGUCUGGGGGCACAGAAUUCAUUGGCAGCUGCUCUGCUCUGGACAGACGUCAGGAAUGGAAUGCCUAAGCCUUCGAAUCAGAUACCAGCUUCCUGUUUUCCCAUGUGUGGCUUUUAGCUCCUUUGCCAAUGGCCUAGAAUGUGUUUCUGUUCCUCUCUGGAGGAUAGGUGGGGGAAGGGCAGUCAGGGAGAAAACCUUACUAGGUUUUCAUCCAAUGCACAUUUAAGAUUUGAAAGUAAUAUGGAUCCAGAGCUGUGAGCUCUGCAGAUCUCCCUGGUGGUAUGUCAUGACUAGACUGUGUGGGCAAGGGGGGGACAGGACCCUGCCAGUUUCAUUAAAAUGUUUAUCACUU